CACACCGCCCGUCACACCACGAAAGUGGUCAUAACCAUAAGCAGGUGAGCCAACCGCAAGGAGGCAGCCUACCAAGGUUCUGGCCGUGAUUGGGGUG
rnacentral:rRNA from 1 species